rnacentral:rRNA from 1 species
UAAGGAAUAUUGGACAAUGGCCGCAAGGCUGAUCCAGCCAUCCAGCGUGCAGGAAGAAGGCCCUAUGGGUUGUAAACUGCUUUUGUCAGGGAAUAAACCUCUGGAUUUACUCCGGAGCUGAAGGUACCUGAAGAAUAAGCACCGGCUAACUCCGUGCCAGCAGCCGCGGUAAUACGGAGGGUGCGAGCGUUAUCCGGAAUUACUGGGUUUAAAGGGUGCGUAGGCGGCUUUGUAAGUCAGGAGUGAAAGUUUGCGGCUCAACCGUAAAAUUGCUUUUGAUACUGCGAGGCUAGAAUUAGGAUGAGGUUAGCGGAAUGUGGCAUGUAGCGGUGAAAUGCAUAGAUAUGCCAUAGAACACCAAUUGCGAAGGCAGCUGGCUAGACCUAUAUUGACGCUGAGGCACGAAAGCGUGGGGAGCGAACAGG